UCAGAUUGAACGCUGGCGGUAUGCUUAACACAUGCAAGUCGAACGGUAACAUGAUUAGCUUGCUAAUUGAUGACGAGUGGCGGACGGGUGAGUAACGCGUAGGAAUUUACCUUUCGGGGGGGGAUAGCCCGGUGAAAACCGGAUUAAUACCGCAUAAGCCCUACGGGGGAAACGAGGCCACUUCUCUUGCUAUUAGAUGAGCCUGCGUCGGAUUAGCUAGUUGGUGGGGUAAAGGCCUACCAAGGCGACGAUCCGUAGCUGGUCUGAGAGGAUGAUCAGCCACACUGGGACUGAGACACGGUCCAGACUCCUACGGGAGGCAGCAGUGGGGAAUAUUGGACAAUGGGCGCAAGCCUGAUCCAGCAAUACCGCGUGUGUGAAGAAGGCUUUCGGGUCGUAAAGCACUUUCAGUAGGGAGGAAAGGAUGAUGGUUAAUAGCCAUUAUCUGUGACGUUACUCGCAGAAGAAGCACCGGCUCCCUCCGUAUUACCGCGGCUGCUGGCACGGAGGGUGCGAGCGUUAAUCGGAAUUACUGGGCGUAAAGCGCGCGUAGGCGGCCUGAUAAGUUGGAUGUGAAAGCCCUGGGCUCAACCUAGGAACUGCAUUCAAAACUGUCAGGCUAGAGUAUGGUAGAGGAUAGUGGAAUUUCCGGUGUAGCGGUGAAAUGCGUAGAGAUCGGAAGGAACAUCAGUGGCGAAGGCGGCUAUCUGGACCAAUACUGACGCUGAGGUGCGAAAGCGUGGGGAGCAAACAGGAUUAGAUACCCUGGUAGUCCACGCCGUAAACGAUGUCAACUAGCCGUUGGGGGGCUUGUCCCCUUAGUGGCGCAGCUAACGCGAUAAGUUGACCGCCUGGGGAGUACGGCCGCAAGGUUAAAACUCAAAUGAAUUGACGGGGGCCCGCACAUGCUCCACCGCUUGUGCUUUAAUUCGAAGCAACGCGAAGAACCUUAUCCGCUCUUGACAUCCAGAGAAUUUGCUAGAGAUAGCUUAGUGCCUUCGGGAACUCUGAGACAGGUGCUGCAUGGCUGUCGUCAGCUCGUGUUGUGAAAUGUUGGGUUAAGUCCCGUAACGAGCGCAACCCUUGUCCUUAUUUGCCAGCACGUAAUGGUGGGAACUCUAAGGAGACUGCCGGUGACAAACCGGAGGAAGGUGGGGACGACGUCAAGUCAUCAUGGCCCUUACGAGCGGGGCUACACACGUGCUACAAUGGCCAGGACAAACGGUUGCAACCCCGCGAGGGCAAGCUAAUCUGAGAAACCUGGUCGUAGUCCGGAUCGCAGUCUGCAACUCGACUGCGUGAAGUCGGAAUCGCUAGUAAUCGUGAAUCAGAAUGUAACGGUGAAUAAGUUCAAGGGACUUGCACACACCGCCCGUCACACCAUGGGAGUGGAUUGCACCAGAAGUAGCUAGCUUAACCUUAGAGGGCGAACACCCAUCUGGGUGAUACGUUUG
rnacentral:rRNA from 1 species